CAGUAUUUUGUGGAAGCAGGUAUAUCGCACCCCUUAAUCAGUAUUUUGUGGAAGCAAGUAUAUAGAACCGCUUAAUCAAUAUUUGGUGGAAGCAGGUAUAUCACACCCCUCAAUCAGUAUUUUGUGGAAGCAGGUAUAUCGCACCCCUCAAUCAGU